AUACCAUUCUAGCACAGAGAAGCUUUUCGAUAUUAGCCUUUGCUCUUUGUAGCAAAGUAAACAAGGGUAUACUAGCAAACAAUAUAUAUGGAGCAUUCGGACAAUACCAAGUGCCAACAGAAGAAAUUUCUAUUCAUAUAUUAGAACUGCGAAAUUUGUCCGUGUCAUCCACAAGAUGCUGCUACAUAGGAAAAGCUUGAGUAUCUUCUUCGCAUCAGAUGGCCAAAGAAUUAGAGAUUGGCGAUCUAUGAAAAUAUGAUUGCACAAUAUGGACAGUAACAAUGCCAUAGACAGUGAAACACGUAUAACAAUGAGCACUAAAUGGUUAUAUUUACAGAGGCUAAUAGAGUUUCCCUGUGCUA
rnacentral:lncRNA from 1 species